rnacentral:sRNA from 1 species
GGGGUCCCAUCUGGCACUGCAUGGGCCAUAGGUCCCCACCCCUCCCACUUCCUAAAACUGUUCUUCAUGUUGAGCCUGUGACUCUUCUCCCCCUCCCCCACUCUGAAUGGGGUCUUGGCCCCCUCUGUCACAGCAGAUCCAUCUCUGGGACCCCCCAAGACAGAUUGGUCCCCAGCCCCUACACAUGCAUGUCACCGUCCUCCUUGACUGCAAACUCCCCCUCCUCACGGUGUGCCCCCACGCCUCCUGACACCUCUCCACCUGCUUGCAGAGAUCAGUGUACUUCUCAAUCGUUGUCCAUAUCUUUUCCAAAAAGAUUCCUCAAUGCUUUUCUUUUCAAAAGGGAAAAAAAAAGGAAAAAAAAAACAAUGCCAACAGCCCAGCGUCCGUGAGCAACCCAACAGUAACAAAGCAUGCGUUCGGGAUGGAGGAAGGUAAGGCCACACAUUUCCAUUUGCCGCUUGCUCAUAGGGCUGGGCGGCCGGGAUGACUUGGAGGGGGGAAUCUGAGCAGCCCUCCUCCCCUCCACUUCCCACACACACCCCUGCCUGCAGGGGGAGGAACAGAAGGGGUCUGAGAGGAGGCGUGGAGAAAAGUGCCCACAAAGCUGCCCCGGGGCCGGCAGUCCCCCGUUUCUUUCACUGUUAGUCUGUGUUGAAGAAUGGGCCCCCACCUCCGCUUACCACAUCAUUCAUUCAUUCAUUCAUUCAUGCUAGAAAUGUUUAGGGCACCCAUGAUUUUCCAGGCCACUAGGGAUACAGAGAUAAGGCACAGAACCCCCCUGAGGGGGUCUCCCCUAGAUGAGACACAUGGGACGAUGAGGAGGCCUGGGCUAGGAGUCAGCACAGCACAGGGUAGGGUCUGGUGGGCUCUGCUUGGGGGACAGGACGGGCUCACAGAGGAGUGGACACUCGUGCUAAGCUUUGGAAGAUAAGUAGGUGUUCUGGGGCCCAGGGAGCCGGUGAAGGGCUUUUUAGAGCAAGUUACAGGAGCACAGGCCCAGAGGCCUAGAACCACCUGGAUGGGUCCAAAUACCACAGAGCUUCAUCACUUUUGUGUCUCAGGCAUAAUAAUGGGUAUCACUAGUGAGGGGUUGGCGGCAGGUCAUGGAAGGCCAUUUCAUAGUGCUGGGGAGUUCAGACCUUGCCCUGGGAACUGUUAGGAGUGGCUGAAGGCUUUUACGCAGAGGAAAAGCAAGAUGAGGGCUGUGCUGUAGACAGCCCACUCUGGCUUUGGCACAGGGUGGGUGACCUGGAGUCAGGAGACCGAGGCACACAGUGCAGGCUUAGCCAGGACAGAGGCAGAGGAGGGAGAAGUUCAGCAGAGCCUUGGUUACCUUACCCUGGGAUGCCGGGGCGAGGGAGAACGCUGCCCCCAUCCAUCUUACCCGGGCCUAACUGGCAAAGGGAAAAUGCGAGCAAGGCGCUCAGGUUGUCCCUGGCCCCCAAGAACAGGACAUUCAUCUUGUAAGCCCCUGGGCGGCUUUCCCUGCACUGUGGUGUGAUGGGCUGGGGUGCGUCCAUGAAGACUCAUUGGUGGGACCACCGAGGCUGCUGGGGUAUUUGCUGGGGGCCUGUGCCAAGGGACGGUGGGGGUGCCAUGCCUGGGCCCGGGCUCCCGUUUCCUGGCUUCCUUGGCAGUGUGGAUGUGGAGGCAUUUUGCAUCAAGGCCAUUAAAGCUGCCCCUGAGCUGUAAAAAGGGGCCAGCCUUCCCCAUCCUGAUGGCCCUGCCUGCUCCUUCCUCAGGGGCCUUCUUCCUUAGGCCUGGCUGCCCGAUCCUGAGGAAGCCCCUGCUUUUCCUGCUCCUGCCGGUGCUCUUCUCCCGCCCGCCUGGCCCUGCUGUCAGCGCCCCCUAGUGCCGGGCCGGCCGCGCAUGAGGGCGGUGGGACAGAUCGCCCACAACUCCUCGGCUUGCUUGUGGGGAAAGAAGGCAACAGAGGGGUCUCUUGGAGUCUGGAGCUUCCAUGUAGAAUCCCCAGGGUCUACUCUUGGCUUUACCACCCUCUCCAUCUCAUGGCACGAUGGCCUGUCCCCCCAGAUUAGGGUGAUACCAAAGGAGGAGCAGGAAAAAAAGAUCCCACCUGCCUUGUUUUCUAUCCGUAUCCAGAUAGCUCUUGACUUUCCCAGGCAGCCAAUGUCCCUUGGAGGUCAGGGACCAUAGUCAGGCCCUCAGUCCCUGUCCACAGUCCCAUCCCCCUACUUUCCCCAAUUUGCCAAGAGGCCCUGGUGUCCCAGUGAACUGUCCCACCGAGACCCAGGCGACAGACUCGGCUGAUGGAUCCCAAGGGCCCCUCCCCUCCCCAGGCCCAGGUGCCCACCUCCUCCCCGCUCCACUCUGUGGCUGCUGCAGGCCUGCGGGGAGUGGGGGUCAGUGGCUCAUUCCUGGCUGGCUGGUGUUGGCCAGCCCAGGAGUGAAGGCCAUGACCCCUUCAUUCCCUAACCAGAGCCAGCUGUACUGCGCGUGUGGUGGCGGGGGGCCCGGGAGCGGUUGCAGGGUGAAGACCAAGGUCUCGAGCCAGACCAGAUGAGUGCAACGUUUUUGCACAUCUUGCUGUUUCAAGUGACUGCUUUGAGGUCCUGCACUCCUGGGUGGACAGGCCAGACUCCUUCAGUCACAGGCAGGCAUCCCUUGGAGAAGGAAAGGUUGCAGGUCUACAUAUCUUGGCUUGGGGCAGACUCCAGAGACUGCCCGGUGUGUGUGUGCCCAUAUGUCAGAGCCCCCGGGGGAGACUGAAAGGGAAUCGGAACUGACCACCUUCAAAAAGCCAAGAAGUAAUUGGUUCUUCCUUGCACUCAGCAAGCAGGGAAUUCCGUUCCCAACCCACCUACCCCAGGACCUGACUUGGGCCAAGAGAUGGUAGGACAAUUGAGGGGUCCAUAGCUGAAUGAGAUGCAUCAGGCUGCCAUAUCUGAGGUGGCAACAUGGAUGUGCAGGGCCAGGGAGGCAGAGGACGAGGAGGGCAGGACUCCCUGCCUGCCCUUCAGGUUGCUGCUGAGGGGCCUCCAGGGGACUUGGGGCCUAAGAGGAAAGGAGAAAGGAGGCACUUCAGGCAAACAGGGACCUUCUCAAACCAGGCAUCCCCUCCCAGGGAAACAGGACACUUGCCAGGAGGUGCCAAAGAUGAGCCAAGACCUGGCCAGCAGACAGACUGUGUGGGUGAGCAUGAGUGAAUGAGUGAGUAGCAAAGCCAGGCAGAAGCUCCAGGCACAGGCAGGGCAGGAGAGAGGUGGGGACAGAUCAGGCAGGGAUGCUGCAGGCACUCCCGUGUCCUGGCUUCUCCCCGCCUGCCUCCCCUGUAGAACCGGGACAGAAGGCACUGUGGAGUUGGGGGCAUGCUGGCUGAGCAUGAGUGUGUGCAGGCAUGGGUACGGGCUCGUGAAGAGCUGUGUCGUCCACACACAUCGUCAGGGUGGCCGUGCUUCGGGCCUAAAGGGCUUCCCACAACAGGGAGACCGUGCUCUCACACCGGAGUCUGCCAGCCAGGGGGCUUUCCCUCCCCUGGCUGAGCCUUCCUGUGACCUGAGCUGCCCCCUGCCCAUCCAGGGAGCAGGCGGGCAUCCCCCUGCGGAAGGACACAAGUGAACCCAGAAUGGUGCCUCAAGGCAGGCAGCCUGGCCCAGAUGGCGCCCCCACUCCCCAGACCCAACUCUAACCAGGCCUGGCCCUCUCCUGUGUCUUGCAGAACUUCAGCGAGAGGGAAGCAUCGAGACUCUGAGUAACAGCUCAGGCUCCACCAGCGGCAGCAUACCAAGAAACUUUGAUGGCUACCGAUCUCCGCUGCCCACCAAUGAGAGCCAGCCCCUCAGCCUCUUCCCGACUGGCUUCCCGUAGGUACCAGCAACCUGCUUCUGACUGGCCAGCCCCCUCCCCUGCUGGAGGAGGGGAGAAGCCCCACUCUGGUCCUACCCUUCAGUCUCUGCUCUUCCUUCAUCAACCACCUUCCCCAAGCUUAGUGACAGCAGCCGCCCUUCCUACCUGGAUGGAGAAGAGACCCUUCAAGCACCUCGGCGCACCUGCCCUCUGCCACACCCGUCAGUGGAGGCUGUGGCCAGGAGAGACUGCAGAAGCUCGGUCCCUGUGUAUGUUUGCAUAUGACAUCCUGCAUUGGAUCCGCUUUUGUAUUUUUUAACCUUACCCAUGGUGGGGCGGGUGCGGGGGGGGCCUGGAACAGUGACCAGAUCUGGGGGCCUGAGUGGGGACAGAGUUGAUGGUCCACCUGGCCAUCUUGAUCCUGAGUGGACAGUCACAGCCUCAGCUCAUGUCUGGCUGUGACACACACUGCCCCCAGCUUCCCUUGGUCAGCCCCGCUCCAGCACGGGGUGAACGGAGGCCCAGAGUUCUAGGGAAGGAGGAAGGGAGGGGAUGCCUCCUCUCUUCCUCCUUUCUUUCCCCAUCUGUUCAUGGAAAGAGUUUGUCUUUCUUAUCUUUAAGCCCCUUUACCCUGGUCCUGUACUGAUCAGUGAAGGAAACCGUGGUUACUGAGGCCCUGUUGAAAAGUGCACGUCUUGUCCAAUAAAUCACGCUGCAAUUGGUGUCCA